rnacentral:rRNA from 1 species
AGAGUUUGAUCCUGGCUCAGGACGAACGCUGGCGGCGCGCCUAACACAUGCAAGUCGAACGAGCGAGAGAGAGCUUGCUUUCUCAAGCGAGUGGCGAACGGGUGAGUAACGCGUGAGGAACCUGCCUCAAAGAGGGGGACAACAGUUGGAAACGACUGCUAAUACCGCAUAAGCCCACAGCUCGGCAUCGAGCAGAGGGAAAAGGAGCAAUCCGCUUUGAGAUGGCCUCGCGUCCGAUUAGCUAGUUGGUGAGGUAACGGCCCACCAAGGCGACGAUCGGUAGCCGGACUGAGAGGUUGAACGGCCACAUAGGGACUGAGACACGGCCCAGACUCCUACGGGAGGCAGCAGUGGGGAAUAUUGCACAAUGGGGGAAACCCUGAUGCAGCGACGCCGCGUGGAGGAAGAAGGUCUUCGGAUUGUAAACUCCUGUUGUUGAGGAAGAUAAUGACGGUACUCAACAAGGAAGUGACGGCUAACUACGUGCCAGCAGCCGCGGUAAAACGUAGGUCACAAGCGUUGUCCGGAAUUACUGGGUGUAAAGGGAGCGCAGGCGGGAAAGCAAGUUGGAAGUGAAAUCCAUGGGCUCAACCCAUGAACUGCUUUCAAAACUGUUUUUCUUGAGUAGUGCAGAGGUAGGCGGAAUUCCCGGUGUAGCGGUGGAAUGCGUAGAUAUCGGGAGGAACACCAGUGGCGAAGGCGGCCUACUGGGCACCAACUGACGCUGAGGCUCGAAAGUGUGGGUAGCAAACAGGAUUAGAUACCCUGGUAGUCCACACUGUAAACGAUGAUUACUAGGUGUUGGAGGAUUGACCCCUUCAGUGCCGCAGUUAACACAAUAAGUAAUCCACCUGGGGAGUACGACCGCAAGGUUGAAACUCAAAGGAAUUGACGGGGGCCCGCACAAGCAGUGGAGUAUGUGGUUUAAUUCGACGCAACGCGAAGAACCUUACCAAGUCUUGACAUCCUGCGACGGUGCUGGAAACAGUACUUUCCUUCGGGACGCAGAGACAGGUGGUGCAUGGUUGUCGUCAGCUCGUGUCGUGAGAUGUUGGGUUAAGUCCCGCAACGAGCGCAACCCUUAUGGUCAGUUACUACGCAAGAGGACUCUGGCCAGACUGCCGUUGACAAAACGGAGGAAGGUGGGGAUGACGUCAAAUCAUCAUGCCCUUUAUGACUUGGGCUACACACGUACUACAAUGGCGUUAAACAAAGAGAAGCGAGACCGCGAGGUGGAGCAAAACUCAGAAACAACGUCCCAGUUCGGACUGCAGGCUGCAACUCGCCUGCACGAAGUCGGAAUUGCUAGUAAUCGCAGAUCAGCAUGCUGCGGUGAAUACGUUCCNCGGGCCAUUGUACACACGGCCCGUNNC